UACGGAGGAUGCAAGCGUUAUCCGGAAUCAUUGGGCGUAAAGCGUCCGCAGGUGGCGGUUCAAGUCUGCUGUUAAAGACAGAAGCUUAACUUCUGAUAGGCAGUGGAAACUGGACAGCUAGAGUAUGGUAGGGGUUGAGGGAAUUCCCAGUGUAGCGGUGAAAUGCGUAGAUAUUGGGAAGAACACCAGUGGCGAAGGCGCUCAACUGGGCCAUAACUGACACUCAGGGACGAAAGCUAGGGGAGCGAAAGGG
rnacentral:rRNA from 1 species